rnacentral:rRNA from 1 species
UACAGAGGGUGCGAGCGUUGUUCGGAAUUAUUGGGCGUAAAGGGCGCGUAGGCGGCUCAUGAAGGCUGUGGUGAAAGUCCGGGGCUCAACCUCGGAUCGGCCGUGGCGACUCGUGGGCUGGAGCACUGUAGAGGCGGGUGGAAUUCCGGGUGUAGCGGUGGAAUGCGUAGAGAUCCGGAAGAACACCAGUGGCGAAGGCGGCCCGCUGGGCAGUGGCUGACGCUGAAGCGCGACAGCGUGGGGAGCAAACAGG